UGAGCUUGAUCCUUAGAGGGUUCUUUGUGU
rnacentral:piRNA from 1 species